UCAAAUCAGUGGAACAUAGAUUAAAAAAAUAAUAUCAAUAAAACAUAGGAAAGGCAAACAUUACGUAACUCUUUUGUUGUCUUACCCUUACCCCCAAACCAAAUAAAACCAACCAACAAAACUAUCAUAAAAAUAAAAAGUCAAAAUCUUGGUUCAAGCAUAGAAAUAAAUGAGUACAGAAAUGAUGAAACCUGGAUGGGAAGUGCAUCCAUAUCAGCUCUUAUUGCAACAAAAGGCUUAUUGGUAUUGUCCAGAAAGUUAGUGGAGACUUGAUUUGAGGAAUCUGUUAAUGAGAAGAUGGGUGUUGCAGCCAAGACAUGGAAAAUGAUGAACAAAUUGAACCAUUUGAAGAAACACAUAAUUUGUUUGGUGUUUGAGAGAAUGAGAUGAAUAACAGACAGAACAGAAGGAAGGAAGGAACGAGGAUAGUAAAACAGCAAUCGACGUUGUUUCUUUUGCUUAGUAAGAUUGUGAGGGUCCACAUCCACUCCAACCUGGUACAGAUUUGAUCUCUUUAUUGUCACACUUUGCUAAAGCAUUAUUGGAUGAAACACAUUUUUUUUAACACCAUCUUUUCAUUAUUGUGUUUGUAAACAGAUUCAGAAUAAUAUCAUAAAAACAGAUUAUUUUUUA